rnacentral:lncRNA from 1 species
CUCUUCCUCCUGACAUACAAUCUCUCAAAGAUCCAAUGACGCCAAAAGUAGCUCCAUUUUGGCCUUCCAGUGGUGAAAGUUGUCACCUUUGAACUUUUCAACCAUUCUCAAGCUAUCACCCUCAAAAGUUGCCAUCUCAAGCUACACGUAGGUCCAAAAAACUCUUGAUUUGGAGUUGUAAUGGAGAAGAUAUCAAUACUCAAAGAUCGCUGAACCACAAACCCAGAAUUCGCUGUUUUGCAACUUUUUGUAAAUUAUGAGUCCUAAUCACGUCUAAAUGGUGGGGAAUGAAUUGUAAAGUAAUUCUAUGGCUCU